rnacentral:rRNA from 1 species
UACAGGGGGGGGCAAGCGUUGUUCGGAAUUACUGGGCGUAAAGGGUCUGUAGGUGGCCAACUAAGUCAGACGUGAAAUCCCUCAGCUUAACUGGGGAACUGCGUCUGAUACUGGAUGGCUUGAGUGUGGGAGAGGAAUGCGGAAUUCCAGGUGUAGCGGUGAAAUGCGUAGAUAUCAGGAGGAACACCGGUGGCGAAGGCGGGUCUCUGGGCCGAUACUGACGCUGAGGAGCGAAAGCGUGGGGAGCGAACAGG